CUCAGCCCCACUCACCUCACAGAGUGUUUGUUGUGGGGGAGGAAGGGAAAGGAGAAUGUUAGCCGUUUUGAGACUCCUUAAAGGGAGUGAAAGGCGGGAUAUCAAAUACAAACUCCUCUUCUUCUUUCAGGUCACACAGAAAGUGUGGCCAAAUGUUGGAAGUAGAAGAAGAGGAGUUUGGAUUUGAUAUCCCGCUUUAUCACUACCCUAAGGAGUCUCAAAGCGGCUAACAAUCUCCUUUUCCCUUCCUCCCCCACAACAAACACUCUGUGAGGUGAGUGAGGCUGAG
rnacentral:miRNA from 1 species